AUGGAUUACCAAAUGAGCGCUGCAAGAGCGGACCUCGAGUUCAUGCUAAUUAAUGAAGUUGCAGAGCCAAAGCCCCUGCCUUUCUCACUUCUUGCAGACAUCACAAAUGAUUUCUCUGAUGAGCACAAAAUUGGAAGUGGUGGAUCUGCAAUGGUUUAUAAGGGACACAUCGGAAAUCGUACAGUCGCUGUGAAGAAGCUGUCCAGACCCGAUUUGCACGAGAAAGAAUUCAAUCAAGAGAUCAAAUGCCUGAUGAAGGUGAAACACGAAAAUGUUGUUCGGUUUCUAGGAUACUGUUCAGACACACAAGGAUGUACGGCGACGUAUGAAGGGAAACUUGUCAUGGCAGACGUACAAAAACGAUUGCUUUGUUUUGAAUAUCUACCUACAGGAAGUCUGGAUAAGUAUAUCACAGAUGCAUCUUGUGGACUUCAAUGGAGACAACGCUAUAAAAUAAUCACUGGAAUUUGCAAGGGCUUGCAUCGACUUCAUGAGGAUCACAUUUUGCACUUGGAUCUGAAACCAGGAAAUAUACUUCUGGAUGACAACAUGGUCCCAAAACUUGCUGAUUUUGGCCUCUCGAGGUGCUUGGGUGAAAACCAAAGCAAGGUUUUUACUAAUAAUAUUGGUGGAACACUGGGAUAUUUGGCACCAGAAUACAAUCAUGGUGUAGUCACAGAAAAGUUUGAUUUGUAUAGUCUUGGUGUUAUAAUUAUGGAGAUACUGACAGGAGGCAGGGGCUGGGACAGGUACUUGAGAACUGGAUCAACAGGUUGGGUGAAUCACGGACAAAUAUACAGUUGGACCAGAUAA
rnacentral:rRNA from 1 species